AGUGUGCCCUUUCCUUCUUGACUUUCUCGCAGUUCUGGGUAAAUAUUGAUUUGCCCCCAGUUUACCUUCUCCUUUACUGGCCAUUUGCAGACUCAGAAACUAGCCUCUGUAGGGACUUGAUUUUUCUGCUAUUUUCUGGCCCUUUCACUUACCCCUCUUCCUCCCUCCAAGUGGCAUUGUAAAACUCACAGUGACAAAGACACAGGGUAGGGUUUGAGGCCCCAGUUCCUGGGGACUUGAAGGAGGUUUUACAUACGGGUCAGACACGGCUGGAGGCCAAGGUCAAGUUGAAAGUUGCAGUCUAGCCAGCAUGAGAACUGCCAUGCAAGCGUGGAGACCCAGGCGGCUGCAAAAGGCCCACUGCCCACAUCCCCUCA
ensembl:misc_RNA